GCAGAACAAAUAGUAGCAGUGCAGCGGAGGGCGCUCUCUUCUCCGACGAACGAGGGACCGUCGCACGCCCGGCGGCCAUGGGGUGGUACUCCCGUUUUCCUCGUCCGGCUCCUUCGAGGUAUUCCUCCCAACCCCCUCCUCAUCAUCCUCUCCUCUAGCUAGUUCUCGUCUGGUCCUCCUCUCAAACCUCCCGGUGUUGCCGUAGCACGCACCCGAACCGUGCUCCGACGAGCGCGUAGCCAACACGGGGAGCGUCGCCGCUCGCCGGGUUCGCUACCCGCUACUCGGACCACGAGAUCCGGCGCGUGGUGCGACACCAUCAGAUAGUUUGAGAGGAGAGGCCGCGUGGUUGGGUAUCGAUCCGUCGUAGUCGCCGCGCCGGUACGGUCGCCGGAAUUCUGCUUGUGGGAAAUCGAGACGAGAAUGCACGUGGUUGGGAUUUCUUGCUGCACGCACUGGCGCAUAUGUUGAAAGCGAGGGAGGGGAUGCGGCCGUAUUGCCGUCGCAACACGCCCCGAACCCGUGCUCCGACGAGGAGUAGCGAACUCGGGGAGCGUCGCCGCUCGCCGAGUUCGGUACCGGCUUGUCCGAGCACGGGCUCCGGUGGCUGGUGCGACACCACCGGCACCGGCGCAGUUUGAUUUGAAAGGUGAGGCGUGUGCUUAGCGACCCGUUGUCGUCGGCGCUCGUCGGUUGUUUAGGGUACGGUGGUGGGUAAUCGAAACGAAUGCUGCUUGUUUGCUGUUCGUCUGCACGACUAAGGGGCUCGCGAGCGGGGGCGGCGGCCAUGCAUGGGCGUGGGGUGGCGGUGGCGCGGGCUCGUGCGGCGUGUGGGGCGGUGGCCGCGGGCUGCAGGGUGCAGCGCGCGGUCGCGCGGCGGCGGUUUGUUGUUACAUAUGCGUGCUCCUGUUCAACGUACUAGGUACCAGCUUCUGAUCGUACUAUUGUGGAUGCCGAUACCACCAAUUGGAGGACUGGGAUCAUGACUGAUCCCCUGUUUAGGGGUCUAGAAAGAUUGAAUUUCAUGUUUAGGAUAGGGUCAUAGGGAGUUCAUUUAAGGAUUUGAUGGGUGUAUAUUUUAUUCAUACUUUCGAUAUCUUCAACAGCUGCAUAUCUAGACUGGUGUGCGAUCCUUAUGUGCCAGUAACUUUUACUGUUUAUUAGGCAUAAAAUUGGUUUGUUAUGGUAUCUUGGCCAACUGUUAACAUUUUAAAAUGGUCAGCUAUUUUUGCAAGUUAGAUGACACAGUAUGUGCUAGUUUCAGUCAAGAUAUUUAUAGAUGCUCUAGAUAGUCACUGAAAUGGCUGUAUUUCCAAUGUGCCACUAUCUUUCAUAACUCAUUUACCCUUCCAUCUAAAGAAAAGUUAGAUUCACCACCAAUUGUUAUUUCUAAAUCAGAUUCACCACCAAUUUUAUUCUUACUGUAUAAGGCUUUUGAUAUGAUGCUUUUCUGGUUAUGGAUGUAUACUCGGUGCACCUGCAAUAUUACACAUUUUACCACAUGGAACAUUGUCAUCAAAUUGUCAAUAAACACCAAUUAGACAUCCAGUUUGUGCCUUAGACUAAACUGGCUGAACAAGUCAUCUGACUUGUAUCGUUGACCUGGCCGUUUUGAUCAAAUGAUUUGCUGCGAUUGUUGAGCAAUGUUAGAAUCUCUUGCUACUGCAUCUGACACUAUGUUUUGGUAUCAAAAUGAUUUGCUGCGAUUGUUGAGCAAUGCUUCUCUUGCUACUCUGCCUGACGUUCUGUUUUGGUAUCCAGGAUCAAAGAUCUCCUCAAGAAGCUCGCGGAGACCCUCCUUCCCGGAGACAUCCGGGAUCUGCCUGCAAUGAAGGACAGAGCAGUCGAGCUGUGGAGUACUGUAAAGAGCCGCAUUGGCGUGAAGACAAACGAGGAUGAUGGGAUCCGCACCGAGCCUGACGACGAGGAUAACAACCCGUUCGUCUAAUCAAGUUCACGACGUGGUGAAAGUUUUGUAGCUGAUUCGUCGUCAUCUUACCUGUUGAGUAGUGCACACAAUGAUCUUGGGAAGGAACCAAAGGGUUAUGGAUUUACUUCUGUCGUCUAUAGUUCUUCAGCUGCGGCCGUAUCGAACAUGGUUUUUUCUGAAUUCAGAUUCUUAUUGCUCGAUAGUGCAACAUACACUUCUGUGAUAUUGCGAUGAAACUUUGUGCUGCUUGUUGCUGCCAAAGUACCAUUUGCUGGUUCAGCUGUUGUACUUGCUGCAUAAAAUUUUGCUGAAGAUGCUCAGUUGGGAGCUGUUGCUGUUCCAGACUCUGAUUGUGUUGAGCAUGCAGGUAAUACAGUUGUUGCUGACAAUAUUGCCCCA
rnacentral:lncRNA from 1 species